rnacentral:rRNA from 1 species
CUUGCUCCUCUGACGUUGGCGGCGGACGGGUGAGUAACACGUGGAUAACCUACCUAUAAGACUGGGAUAACUUCGGGAAACCGGAGCUAAUACCGGAUAAUAUUUUGAACCGCAGGGUUCAAUAGUGAAAGACGGUUUUGCUGUCACUUAUAGAUGGAUCCGCGCCGCAUUACCUAGUUGGUAAGGUAACGGCUUACCAAGGCAACGAUGCGUAGCCAACCUGAAAGGGUGAUCGGCCACACUGGAACUGAAACACGGUCCAAACUCCUACGGGAGGCAGCAGUAGGGAAUCUUCCGCAAUGGGCGAAAGCCUGACGGAGCAACGCCGCGUGAGUGAUGAAGGUCUUCGGAUCGUAAAACUCUGUUAUUAGGGAAGAACAAAUGUGUAACUAACUAUGCACGUCUUGACGGUACCUAAUCAGAAAGCCACGGCUAACUACGUGCCAGCAGCCGCGGUAAUACGUAGGUGGCAAGCGUUAUCCUGAAUUAUUGGGCGUAAAGCGCGCGUAGGCCGUUUUUUAACUCUGAUGUGAAAUCCCACGGCUCAACCGUGGAGGGUCAUUGGAAACUGGAAAACUUGAGUGCAGAACAGGAAAGUGGAAUUCCAUGUGUAGCGGUGAAAUGCGCAGAGAUAUGGAGGAACACCGGUGGCUAAAGCGACUUUCUGGUCU